UGUGGCUGCGGCCGAUUUAGGUAGACGGUGGGGUAACGGCCCACCGUGCCCAUAAUCGGUACGGGUUGUGAGAGCAAGAGCCCGGAGACGGUAUCUGAGACAAGAUACCGGGCCCUACGGGGCGCAGCAGGCGCGAAACCUUUACACUGCACGCGAGUGCGAUAAGGGGACUCCGAGUGCGAGGGCAUAUAGUCCUCGCUUUUCACGACCGUAAGGAGGUCGUAGAAUAAGUGCUGGGCAAGACCGGUGCCAGCCGCCGCGGUAAUACCGGCAGCACGAGUGAUGACCGCUAUUAUUGGGCCUAAAGCGUCCGUAGCUGGCCACGCAAGUCUAUCGGGAAAUCCGCGCGCUUAACGCGCGGGCGUCCGGUGGAAACUGCGUGGCUUGGGACCGGAAGACCAGAGGGGUACGUCCGGGGUAGGAGUGAAAUCCCGUAAUCCUGGACGGACCACCGGUGGCGAAAGCGCCUCUGGAAGACGGAUCCGACGGUGAGGGACGAAAGCUCGGGUCACGAACCGGAUUAGAUACCCGGGUAGUCCGAGCUGUAAACGAUGUCUGCUAGGUGUGGCACAGGCUACGAGCCUGUGCUGUGCCGUAGGGAAGCCGUGAAGCAGACCGCCUGGGAAGUACGUCCGCAAGGAUGAAACUUAAAGGAAUUGGCGGGGGAGCACUACAACCGGAGGAGCCUGCGGUUUAAUUGGACUCAACGCCGGACAUCUCACCAGCAUCGACAAUGUGCAGUGAACGUCAGGUUGAUGACCUUACUGGAGCCAUUGAGAGGAGGUGCAUGGCCGCCGUCAGCUCGUACCGUGAGGCGUCCUGUUAAGUCAGGCAACGAGCGAGACCCGCACUCCUAAUUGCCAGCAACACCCUUGUGGUGGUUGGGUACAUUAGGAGGACUGCCAGUGCCAAACUGGAGGAAGGAACGGGCAACGGUAGGUCAGUAUGCCCCGAAUGUGCUGGGCGACACGCGGGCUACAAUGGCCGAGACAGUGGGAUGCAACCCCGAAAGGGGACGCUAAUCUCCGAAACUCGGUCGUAGUUCGGAUUGAGGGCUGAAACUCGCCCUCAUGAAGCUGGAUUCGGUAGUAAUCGCGCCUCAGAAGGGCGCGGUGAAUACGUCCCUGCUCCUUGCACACACCGCCCGUCAAAGCACCCGAGUGGGGUCCGGAUGAGGCCGACGCAACGUCGGUCGAAUCUG
rnacentral:rRNA from 1 species